rnacentral:piRNA from 1 species
UGGGAUGUGAUAAGCACCUGUGUGUGUCU